CCUACGGGUGGCAGCAGUGGGGAAUAUUGCACAAUGGGGGAAACCCUGAUGCAGCGACGCCGCGUGAGUGAAGAAGUAUUUCGGUAUGUAAAGCUCUAUCAGCAGGGAAGAAAAUGACGGUACCUGACUCAGAAGCCCCGGCUAACUACGUGCCAGCAGCCGCGGUAAUACGUAGGGGGCAAGCGUUAUCCGGAUUUACUGGGUGUAAAGGGAGCGUAGACGGCAGGACAAGUCUGGAGGGAAAUGCCAGGGCUUAACCACGGAACUGCUUUGGAAACUGUGCAGCUAGAGUGCAGGAGAGGUAAGUGGAAUUCCGGGUGUAGCGGUGAAAUGCGUAGAUAUUAGGAGGAACACCAGUGGCGAAGGCGGCUUACUGGACUGUAACUGACGUUGAGGCUCGAAAGCGUGGGGAGCAAACAGGAUUAGAUACCCUUGUAGUC
rnacentral:rRNA from 1 species